AAACUAAGAGGUGGAAAGUGACCUUCCAUACGCCUACGGUAUAGGAAACUAUACAAAGGGUGAUAGAAGCCCGUAACAGGUUAAGCUGACGAGGAUAAGAGAUUUCGGAAUUGGUCUCCGAACUUAGUAU
rnacentral:ncRNA from 1 species